AUUGAACGCUGGCGGCAUGCCUUACACAUGCAAGUCGAACGGCAGCACGGGUGCUUGCACCUGGUGGCGAGUGGCGAACGGGUGAGUAAUAUAUCGGAACGUACCUUAUUGUGGGGGAUAACGCAGCGAAAGCUGUGCUAACACCGCAUAAUCCCUAAGGGGGAAAGCGGGGGACCGUAAGGCCUCGCGCAAUUAGAGCGGCCGAUACCUGAUUAGCUAGUUGGUGAGGUAAAGGCUCACCAAGGCAACGAUCAGUAGCUGGUCUGAGAGGACGAUCAGCCACACUGGGACUGAGACACGGCCCAGACUCCUACGGGAGGCAGCAGUGGGGAAUUUUGGACAAUGGGGGCAACCCUGAUCCAGCAAUGCCGCGUGAGUGAAGAAGGCCUUCGGGUUGUAAAGCUCUUUUGUCAGGGAAGAACAAGUGCUAGUUGAAUAAGCUGGCACCUUGACGGUACCUAACCAGAAAGCCACGGCUAACUACGUGCCAGCCGCCGCGGUAA
rnacentral:rRNA from 1 species